rnacentral:rRNA from 1 species
GUCGCCAGCUCACCUUACAAAAGCCAAACAGUGUGCAAAAUAGUUCCCCACUAAAAAGUCAGGUCAAGGUGUAGUUAAUUGGGGGGACAGCGAUGGGCUACAUUUUCUAGCAAAGAAGCCCCCAGCAAUAUGAAAUAAUGCCAUAAGACGGAUUUAGCAGUAAAUAGAGCAAGAGCCGCUCAAUUGAAGCUCGCCCUGAGACGCGUACACACCGCCCGUCACCCUCCUCAGAAACCAAAAAUCAAAAUAACUAAGCCCCUCCCCCAAAUCUACCAGAUGAGGCAAGUCGUAACAUGGUAAGUGUACUGGAAAGUGCACUUGGCAAAAC